rnacentral:ncRNA from 1 species
GACAUUUGGUUCAUGUGCUUGGCUGAUAAGCCAAUGGUGCGAAGCUACCAUCUGAGGGAUUAUGACUGAACGCCUCUAAGUCAGAAUCCCGCCUGGAAAGCGACGAUGCAUUCGUGCCUCGGCCUCGAGAGGCGUAGCUAGACGGCCGUGUGGCCGUGGAAAGAGCCCGAUUCCGACCCGAGAGGCCGCGGCAAGAGGCGGCCUCGAAGUCGGUGGAUCCUCCUGCUCGAAAGGCGGGGUGCUAAACCAUUCGCAGACGACCUAGUUGAAGAUCGGGGUGUCGUGAUCACUAGAGCAGUACAUCUCACUGCGAUUUGUUGAGAGUAAGCCUCAAGAUCUGUCGGUUUGU